rnacentral:rRNA from 1 species
AGGUAGUAUGGCAAAAAAAACCUAUUUAUUAUGGCGGCAUUUAUCUAAUUAAAGGAACUUGUUAUCUAAUCGAUAAUCCACGAUAAAUUUCACCUUUAUAAACAAUUUAUAUAUCGCCAUUUAAAGAAUUUUUAUAAAAACUUUUUCAAAAUAAAAAAUAAAAAAUUAGGUCAAGGUGUAAUCAAUAUAAAUGUAUUAAUGAGUUACAUUAAACACAAUUUAAAAAUUUGCAUUAAAACUUCAUAUAUAAAGAAUUUAUAAGUAAUAAUUAACUAAUAUUUAUUCAUGAAAUAGAUAAUAAAUGUGU